AUUGCGGGCUAAUUAAGCCAGCAGUUUGCCACUUGCUGUUUAUUACUCGUCUACCAUGCGCAUUUACUAACAAUGCUGUUAACAUAUCUGUAGACUCAUGCUUCUACAACUCACAUACGGUAAAUGGACUAAAACAAGCUCACCUGCCAACCUGUGGUUUCAGGAGAGUUCGUUAGCCUUUAAUCAAAUGGCCUCAAAACUUUGAGCUGGAAGCCGCGUUUUCUGGCUAUGAAGUCUGCAGCGCCAGACCAAGUCCGAGAUCGCUGCUUCAGGUCAUCAAGAAAUCUGACAGGUGGCUGGUGAAGGGGAACAAAGCGAGCCUCACACUGAGGACAGGGACAUACUGUGACAUUUUGUGUGUUCUGUGAAAGGCAGGAGGAGCUCUUUGAGAGCUUCUAGUUUUUUGCCACUUGUUGGCAAGAAGACCGUGUCAGUCCUCUUGGUUAGCUAACUCAGGUAUCCAUAUUGACAGUGUUAGACCAUCUGGUUGGGCAGUCGCUGAGGAGAAACCACAUACUUCCUGCAGCUUCUCUGUAAAUUUGAGGAGUUUCAAAACAAUAGUUCUUGCUUCGUCUUGCAGUCUUUUACAUUGGCCUCCUCCUUGUGAGGCUCACAACUUGCUUUAGCUCAAAUUUACCCUAUAGCCUAUUUGUUUCUGUAAUGAAUGAAAAGCCAAAUGUCAGGCGGCUUUUGGCCAGGGAGCCUGGCAUCGUUUCAUUACAAACCGGAGGAUUCAUUAUGUACGCUGAUUGAGUUUUUGGCACCAUUGAAUUUUACAUGAUGAUACAGUUAAUCCACCAUAGUGUGCAAAUGUCUGUCAAUCACUGGGUGAGGGAAAAAUUUGGCUUAUGAAUGGGUCGCAAAUUUGGCAACUGGAUCUGCUAGUACAUAAAGAUUAUUCCAUUGUGGUGAUAUUGAGAAAAACAUGAUUUAGUCACUUAUUUAUUUUGUCACAUUGUCAUCAGCCAUUACUGAGAAAAAACGGUUUUAGUCAGUUUUCAUUAUUGUUAUUUCUCCCAUUUACUAGUAAGUGAAUUUUAUUAAUAUAUCCCCAAAUCACAAACUAAAUUACUUCUUCUUAAAGAAUGAUGCAGUUUUGGUGUGAGAACAGGGGCAAUCACUGGCAACAAGUGUACCUGGAGUAAAUGAACAAUGUUAAGUGCACAGGCCAAAGGCAAGAUUUCAACUAAAGGUUAGGCAAGUUAAAUUUGAGAGGAAAAUGGCAAACUGUCUUUCAAGAAGAACCACUGACUUCAAUUAAAGCAACUUGUGUUA